rnacentral:rRNA from 1 species
AGGGUGUAAACGCUGCAGACUUGGUGUUGGGAACCCUUCGGGGGUGCUCAGUGCCGGAGAGAAGUUGUUAAGUCUGCUACUUGGGGAGUACGUCCGCAAGGAUGAAACUUAAAGGAAUUGGCGGGGGAGCACCGCAACGGGAGGAGCGUGCGGUUUAAUUGGACUCAACGCCGGGAAGCUCACCGGAUAGGACAGCAGAAUGAUUGCCGGGCUGAAGACCCUGCAUGACUAGCUGAGAGGUGGUGCAUGGCGUAGACGUCU